rnacentral:pre_miRNA from 1 species
AUAGCAUUUGGACCGUGUCGGUCUUCCGAGUAACAUCAACCGCUCGGUGGAAGAUCUUCCAUUUGUACG